UACAGAGGUCUCAAGCGUUGUUCGGAUUCAUUGGGCGUAAAGGGUGCGUAGGCGGCGCGGUAAGUCGGGUGUGAAAUCUCGGAGCUUAACUCCGAAACUGCAUUCGAUACUGCCGUGCUUGAGGACUGGAGAGGAGACUGGAAUUUACGGUGUAGCGGUGAAAUGCGUAGAUAUCUGGAGGAACACCGGUGGCGAAGGCGGCAUCCUGGCCCAACCCUGACACUGAGGAGCGAAAGCCAGGGGAGCAAACGGG
rnacentral:rRNA from 1 species